AAAGGUCAGUCUUCAUCUGCUGCCUGAGCUCCUUUCCGAGCCUCUGGAUGAGCUUGUCCUGGAUAUCUCCACUCCAACCAUUCUCCACACGCAGGUCAAAGAAUAUCCUAUUACCCAUCCAUACAGCCCAUACACCUCCCCAAGUUCUGGCAAAUGGGAUCAUAUAGUACUACCCAGAGCCCUACAUUUAUUGCUGGUUUUGACAUUUCAUAUGGACGAGAAGAAGCUGUGCCUCAGGAAUCCUAGACAUGGAUGGACUACUUAGUCUAUUGGCUGGAAUCCUGUGACACACAGAUGUGAUGGAAUCCAGCACAUCAGAGGAAAGAGGAGAGGCACUACUCCCUGAGUGAAUGGUGAUUCCACAUCUUCAUCUGUCCUCUUGAUUUCCAAGACUCCCUCUGUCUCCAGGGAAACUUCAAGUGAUUUCUCAUUGAUGUGCAAUGUGAGCUUCUGAGCAGGAGGACUUUACUGUUGCCUUCAGGCCUUAUAUGAUUUUUUUGAAGGAACUCCAUUGCCAACAUCCUGUAUGCUUAACUUUAGAGUCAAUUUUCUUUUGUGAACAUGCAUACAAGUGUUUCCUAUGCUCAGAGGCCAGGGGUCUUGGGUGUCUGUCUCUAUUACUCUCUGCCUUGUUUCUUUUAUACAAAAUUUGUCCCUGC